rnacentral:lncRNA from 1 species
AUGGACUCCAGUCUGUCUCCAUACUUUGAAGUAAUUGGUCAAAUGUUGCUUAGUGACUGUACUGAUGAGGACAUUAGUAACCAUCUGACAUUUGAGUGCGGCUUGCAAAGAGGAGCAUCGGUAGUGAAUAUUCGUCGUUUUUGCAAAGACAGUGGCUUAAGAAGACCCCGAGUGACGGACAACGAACUGCAUGCUGCUGUCUUCAAAUCCAUAAAACAGACUGGUCCUACCUAUGGCAGAAAAAUGAUGACCGGCUAUCUUGCAGCCGCAGGAGUCCAUGCAUCCGAAGGUCGUGUGGGAGAUGUCUUGAGAAACAUUCACAUGCCUUAUCACAGGGCACGAUGUCAGGGAGCCAGGAACCUUAAUCCUGUACCAUAUAAUGCAGGCUAUGUGGGUCACAAAGUACACAUAGACCAGAAUGAAAAAAUGGUUAUGUUUGGUGUGACUCAUGUGCUGGCGAUCGAUGGCUUCUCCAGCAAAAUUGUUGGAAAAUCAACAAUGCCUGUGAAGAACAACCUCACCAUAUACAGUGACAUUUACAGAGGUGCCGUGAUGGAGAAUGGGAUGUGGGACCAGGUAAGAGUGGACCAUGGGAAGGAGUUCUACCUUACUCUUUACAUGCAAGAGAAAUUGGCCAGCCACCGCCACAACACUGAGAGGCCACCAUAUAUGCAAACACCAUCAACAAAGGUGAGUAGCAAUAUAUGCACACACCCUGAUUGUAAUUUGUAA